CGUAGGGUGCAAGCGUUAAUCGGAAUUACUGGGCGUAAAGCGUGCGCAGGCGGUUAUGCAAGACAGAUGUGAAAUCCCCGGGCUCAACCUGGGAACUGCAUUUGUGACUGCAUGGCUAGAGUACGGUAGAGGGGGAUGGAAUUCCGCGUGUAGCAGUGAAAUGCGUAGAUAUGCGGAGGAACACCGAUGGCGAAGGCAAUCCCCUGGACCUGUACUGACGCUCAUGCACGAAAGCGUGGGGAGCAGACAGGAUUAGAUACCCUGGUAGUCCACGCCCUAAACGAUGUCAACUGGUUGUUGGGAGGGUUUCUUCUCAGUAACGUAGCUAACGCGUGAAGUUGACCGCCUGGGGAGUACGGCCGCAAGGUUG
rnacentral:rRNA from 1 species